AACACAUGCAAGUCGAGGGGAAACGAUAUUGGAAGCUUGCUUCCGAUAGGCGUCGACCGGCGCACGGGUGAGUAACGCGUAUCCAACCUGCCCACCACUUGGGGAUAACCUUGCGAAAGUAAGACUAAUACCCAAUGAUAUCUCUAGAAGACAUCUGAAAGAGAUUAAAGAUUUAUCGGUGAUGGAUGGGGAUGCGUCUGAUUAGCUUGUUGGCGGGGUAACGGCCCACCAAGGCGACGAUCAGUAGGGGUUCUGAGAGGAAGGUCCCCCACAUUGGAACUGAGACACGGUCCAAACUCCUACGGGAGGCAGCAGUGAGGAAUAUUGGUCAAUGGGCGAGAGCCUGAACCAGCCAAGUAGCGUGCAGGAUGACGGCCCUAUGGGUUGUAAACUGCUUUUAUAAGGGAAUAAAGUGAGUCUCGUGAGACUUUUUGCAUGUACCUUAUGAAUAAGGACCGGCUAAUUCCGUGCCAGCAGCCGCGGUAAUACGGAAGGUCCGGGCGUUAUCCGGAUUUAUUGGGUUUAAAGGGAGCGUAGGCCGGAGAUUAAGCGUGUUGUGAAAUGUAGAUGCUCAACAUCUGAACUGCAGCGCGAACUGGUUUCCUUGAGUACGCACAAAGUGGGCGGAAUUCGUGGUGUAGCGGUGAAAUGCUUAGAUAU
rnacentral:rRNA from 1 species